rnacentral:rRNA from 1 species
UACGUAGGGUGCGAGCGUUGUCCGGAAUUAUUGGGCGUAAAGGGCGCGUAGGCGGUGCGGUAAGUCUGUAGUGAAAUCUCUGGGCUCAACUCAGAGUCUGCUGCAGAAACUGCCGUGCUUGAGUGUGGGAGAGGUGAGUGGAAUUCCCGGUGUAGCGGUGAAAUGCGUAGAUAUCAGGAGGAACGCCAAUGGCGAAGGCAAGUCUCUGGACAGUUCCUGACGCUCAUGCACGAAGGCCAGGGGAGCAAACGGG